CAUGCAAGUCGAGCGAAGCGCUUAAGUUUGAUUCUUCGGAUGAAGACUUUUGUGACUGAGCGGCGGACGGGUGAGUAACGCGUGGGUAACCUGCCUCAUACAGGGGGAUAACAGUUAGAAAUGACUGCUAAUACCGCAUAAGACCACGGUACCGCAUGGUACAGUGGUAAAAACUCCGGUGGUAUGAGAUGGACCCGCGUCUGAUUAGGUAGUUGGUGGGGUAACGGCCUACCAAGCCGACGAUCAGUAGCCGACCUGAGAGGGUGACCGGCCACAUUGGGACUGAGACACGGCCCAGACUCCUACGGGAGGCAGCAGUGGGGAAUAUUGCACAAUGGAGGAAACUCUGAUGCAGCGACGCCGCGUGAAGGAUGAAGUAUUUCGGUAUGUAAACUUCUAUCAGCAGGGAAGAAAAUGACGGUACCUGACUAAGAAGCCCCGGCUAACUACGUGCCAGCAGCCGCGGUAAUACGUAGGGGGCAAGCGUUAUCCGGAUUUACUGGGUGUAAAGGGAGCGUAGACGGCACGGCAAGCCAGAUGUGAAAGCCCGGGGCUCAACCCCGGGACUGCAUUUGGAACUGCUGAGCUAGAGUGUCGGAGAGGCAAGUGGAAUUCCUAGUGUAGCGGUGAAAUGCGUAGAUAUUAGGAGGAACACCAGUGGCGAA
rnacentral:rRNA from 1 species